rnacentral:rRNA from 1 species
AGAUUGAACGCUAGCGGGAUGCUUUACACAUGCAAGUCGAACGGCAGCGCGGACUUCGGUCUGGCGGCGAGUGGCGAACGGGUGAGUAAUAUAUCGGAACGUGCCCAGUAGCGGGGGAUAACUACGCGAAAGCGUGGCUAAUACCGCAUACGCCCUACGGGGGAAAGGGGGGGAUCGCAAGACCUCUCACUAUUGGAGCGGCCGAUAUCAGAUUAGCUAGUUGGUGAGGUAAAGGCUCACCAAGGCGACGAUCUGUAGCUGGUUUGAGAGGACGACCAGCCACACUGGGACUGAGACACGGCCCAGACUCCUACGGGAGGCAGCAGUGGGGAAUUUGGACAAGUGGGGGAAACCCUGACUCCAGCCAUCCCGCGUGUGCGAUCGAAGGUCCGUU